AUGAAAGCAGUUAAACUGGGAUACAAAUGGUCUGUUGGGAAUGGUAGAUCUGUUAGGUUUUGGGAGGAUAUUUGGUUCGGUAACUCCCCACUUGCCACCCAGUUCUGGGAUUUGUAUUGUAUAGUUAAUGAGAAAAACAAAACCAUUGCAGAUACCUGGGAUGGAGAUAUCCUAAAAAUUUCCUUUAGAAGGAAUUUUGAUGAGGUGUUAAUGCAACAAUGGUUUGAUCUAGAAUCCGUUGCCAAAUCGAUUACUUUUACUGACCAGGAAGAUAAUUUGAUUUAG
rnacentral:rRNA from 1 species